AAAAUUCCUUAUUCGAACCAUGGUUAAACAACAAAUAAUUGUUCAGUCUGUAAAUAACCAUAACCCAAUAGCAGUGGCGAAAUAAGGUGUCUGGAUAAUUUGUCUAUAUACAGAGUCAUAAAAAUUCUGGGAUGCGACAUGCAGAUGAUAUUGCCAUUGCUCUGUAAGGAAAGUUGUAGACAUUCUUCAAACUGAAGCUUUGCAAAAUCACUAUUACUUUGGAUAUUCUGCAAGUUGACUACCAUUCUUUGGCAAUUUGAGUGAGUUAUGGUGCCAUAUUUACAACACCCUUACCGGGAAGUGCCGCCCCUUGGAUAAUACUAACUUGUGUUCCUUUAAUGAAUUUCCCACGGACUGAACAGUUGUUCUAGUGUGUGUGUGAGCAAUAAAACAUGCUAGUAUUAAAAUAUGAUUAGAUUUUCUGGCCUAUAAGCAGGUGUAUGUUUGUUAGUUAAUAAAGUUUGGAGUUUUGUUUCA